rnacentral:rRNA from 1 species
GUGUAUGGCCAUAAUAUCCUGAAUGUGGCAGAUCUCGUCUGAUCUUGGAAGCUAAGCAGGGUUGGGCCUGGUUAGUACUUGAAUGGGAGAAAAUGAAGAGUCGGGCUGAACAUG